GAUGAACGCUGGCGGCGUGCCUAAUACAUGCGAGUCGAGCGAACGGACGAGAAGCUUGCUUCUCUGAUGUUAGCGGCGGACGGGUGAGUAACACGUGGAUAACCUACCUAUAAGACUGGGAUAACUUCGGGAAACCGGAGCUAAUACCGGAUGAUAUUUUGAACCGCAUGGUUCAAAAGUGAAAGACGGUCUUGCUGUCACUUAUAGAUGGAUCCGCGCUGCAUUAGCUAGUUGGUAAGGUAACGGCUUACCAAGGCAACGAUGCAUAGCCGACCUGAGAGGGUGGUCGGCCACACUGGAACUGAGACACGGUCCAGACUCCUACGGGAGGCAGCAGUAGGGAAUCUUCCGCAAUGGGCGAAAGCCUGACGGAGCAACGCCGCGUGAGUGAUGAAGGUCUUCGGAUCGUAAAACUCUGUUAUUAGGGAAGAACAUAUGUGUAAGUAACUGUGCACAUCUUGACGGUACCUAAUCAGAAAGCCACGGCUAACUACGUG
rnacentral:rRNA from 1 species